ACUAUUUAAUGACUUGAAUCAAAUGUCUGGAUCCAUCGGAAUCGUUUCCGCCUCUUUUAAAUUGUUCCAGAACGCGUAGGCUUCAUCGAUAAGAAUUCUUUGCAAUACGAGCUUAAAUAUGCCUAAUUUUUCCCAAAAGUGAUUGAAUCUGCCCAAACUUGUACAAUCAGAUGUGAUUAACAAUAGAGACAACUUUUUAUGGACAGCAAUUUGCAAGAUUCCUGGCUUUUAUUUUCCUUAAUCAUAACCAAAACAAUUAUCCUUGUUCUCAUCAUUGUCAUCAUCUUCGUCACCAUCAGUGAUUUUGGUUAAAUGACAUAGUGCUUUAUUUGGAGUGCCCAAAUCUUAAUUUCCUUAUCUUAAACUGAAAGACAUGACCAAAAAUCAAAAGUUUUCUGAUGUGAUGUCGUUGAAGCUGUGCGAGGAAUCUGGAAUCGGCACAUAGAUGAUAUUAUAACAAGAAGUUUCCAAAUUAAGCAAGAUUUCAAUGAUAUAUAAAAAUAGUUAAAUUCAAA